CAAAGGAGCAAUCCGCUGAAAGAUGGGCUCGCGUCCGAUUAGGUAGUUGGCGGGGUAACGGCCCACCAAGCCGACGAUCGGUAGCCGGACUGAGAGGUUGAACGGCCACAUUGGGACUGAGACACGGCCCAGACUCCUACGGGAGGCAGCAGUGAGGGAUAUUGGUCAAUGGGGGAAACCCUGAACCAGCAACGCCGCGUGAGGGAAGACGGUUUUCGGAUUGUAAACCUCUGUCCUCUGUGAAGAUGAUGACGGUAGCAGAGGAGGAAGCUCCGGCUAACCACGUGCCAGCAGCCGCGGUAAUACGUAGGGAGCAAGCGUUGUCCGGAUUUACUGGGUGUAAAGGGUGCGUAGGCGGCUUUGCAAGUCAGAAGUGAAAUCUAUGGGCUUAACCCAUAAACUGCUUUUGAAACUGCAGGGCUUGAGUGAAGUAGAGGUAGGCGGAAUUCCCGGUGUAGCGGUGAAAUGCGUAGAGAUCGGGAGGAACACCAGUGGCGAAGGCGGCCUACUGGGCUUUAACUGACGCUGAGGCACGAAAGCGUGGGUAGCAAACAGGAUUAGAUACCCUGGUAGUCCACGCUGUAAACGAUGAUUACUAGGUGUGGGUGGACUGACCCCAUCC
rnacentral:rRNA from 1 species